rnacentral:lncRNA from 1 species
AUGGGAAAAGCGAGAGAGUUCCAGAAAAACAUUUAUUUCUGCUUUAUUGACUAUGCCAAAGCCUUUGACUGUGUGGAUCACAAGAAACUGUGGAAAAUUCUGAAAGAGAUGGGAAUACCAGACCACCUAACCUGCCUCUUGAGAAAUCUGUAUGCAGGUCAGGAAGCAACAGUUAGAACUGGACAUGGAACAACAGACUGGUUCCAGAUAGAAAAAGGAGUGCAUCAAGGCUGUAUAUUGUCACCCUGCUUAUUUAACUUAUAUGCAGAGUACAUCAUGAGAAACGCUGGACUGGAAGAAACACAAGCUGGAAUCAAGAUUGCCAGGAGAAAUAUCAAUAACCUCAGAUAUGCAGAUGACACCACUCUUAUGGCAGAAAGUGAAGAGGAACUGAAAAGCCUCUUGAUGAAAGUGAAAGAGGAGAGUGAGAAAGUUGGCUUAAAGCUCAACAUUCAGAAAACGAAGAUCAUGGCAUCUGGUCCCAUCACUUCAUGGGAAAUAGAUGGGGAAACAGUGGAAACAGUGUCAGACUUUAUUUUGGGGGGCUCCAAAAUCACUGCAGAUGGUGACUGCAGCCAUGAAAUUAAAAGACGCUUACUCCUUGGAAGAAAAGUUAUGACCAACCUAGAUAGCAUAUUCAAAAGCAGAGACAUUACUUUGCCAACAAAGGUCUGUCUAGUCAAGGCUAUGGUUUUUCCAGUAGUCAUGUAUGGAUGUGAGAGUUGGACUGUGAAGAAGGCUGAGUGCCGAAGAAUGGAUGCUUUUGAAGUGUGGUGUUGGAGAAGACUCUUGAGAGUCCCUUGGACUGCAAGGAGAUCCAACCAGUCCAUUCUGAAGGAGAUCAGCCCUGGGACUUCUUUGGAAGGAAUGAUGCUAAAGCUGAAACUCCAGUACUUUGGCCACCACAUGCGAAGAGUUGACUCAUUGGAAAAGACUUUGGUGCUGGGAGGGAUUGGGGGCAGGAGGAGAAGGGGACGACAGAGGAUGAGAUGGCUGGAUGGCAUCAUGGACUCAAUGGACAUGAGUCUGAGUGAACUCCGGGAGAUGGUGAUGGACAGGGAGGCCUGGUUUGCUGCGAUACAUGGGAUCACAAAGAGUCGGACAUGA